UACGAAGGGGGCUAGCGUUGCUCGGAAUUACUGGGCGUAAAGCGCACGUAGGCGGCUUUGUAAGUUAGAGGUGAAAGCCCAGAGCUCAACUCUGGAACUGCCUUUAAGACUGCAUCGCUUGAAUUGUGGAGAGGUAAGUGGAAUUCCGAGUGUAGAGGUGAAAUUCGUAGAUAUUCGGAAGAACACCAGUGGCGAAGGCGACUUACUGGACACAUAUUGACGCUGAGGUGGCGAAAAGCGUGGGGAGCAAACAGG
rnacentral:rRNA from 1 species